rnacentral:rRNA from 1 species
CACAUGCAAGUCGAGGGGCAGCGCGAGUAGCAAUACUUGGCGGCGACCGGCGCAAGGGUGCGUAACGCGUGAGCAACAUGCCCGUAUCAGGGGGAUAAUCCAGGGAAACUUGGUCUAAUACCCCAUAGUAAUUUUUGUAAGGCAUCUUAUAAGAUUUAAAGCUUUGGUGGAUACGGAUUGGCUCGCGUGACAUUAGCUGGAUGGUAAGGUAACGGCUUACCAUGGCUAUGAUGUCUAGGGGUUCUGAGAGGAAGGUCCCCCACACUGGAACUGAGACACGGUCCAGACUCCUACGGGAGGCAGCAGUGAGGAAUAUUGGACAAUGGAUGGAAAUCUGAUCCAGCCAUGCCGCGUGAAGGAAAGAAGGUCCUAUGGAUUGUAAACUUCUUUUGUAUGGGAGCAAUAAGGCCUACGAGUAGGUUGAUGAGAGUACCAUACGAAUAAGCACCGGCUAACUCCGUGCCAGCAGCUGC